rnacentral:lncRNA from 1 species
ACAAAUGAUUUCCCGUGAUUCUUCUCCUCACAAACAUCGCUCCAAGGGUUGUUGGCUUGCUUUUGAAGGGAAAAGAUCCGUUACGAAUAAUUUUAUGGUUGUCACCUAUAAAGAUUUUAAGAUCUUCCUGCCACGAAUGAAAACUUUGGAGUCGCCAACCUGAAUUCUUGACUUUUACAUUUUUUUGUUGGGUUUGAUCGCGGACGGAGAUUGCUAAUAUAGAGAAGACUUUGGAUGCUUUCUUUAGAGCUUCUCCAACUUUACUCCACCCUAUUUCAUGUAUUUCUCAUCCUCUUUUAGCCUUAUGGAUUGUUCUCUAUUUAUAUAGCCGAAUAGAGUGUGUGCGGUAAAACCAGGGAGUCUACUUUCCGUCAUCGAGGCACUUAGGAAUACCCUAACAGCAUGUUGAGAUCAUAAGGUCGCGGUCGAGCUCCUUAUCUCGGAUAUGAUUCUCGUCUCUGUAGUGGAUCGAAGGUCAGGGACAUAUUCACAAUCUAGCAGAAGUUGCGUGUAAGAUAAACUCUCGAGGAGAUAGCUUGAAUUAAUAGGUCCUAGUGUCUUGUCUAGGCAUCCCAUCCUUGUACCUUUAUGUUUAAUGCACCAUGUACUAUACCGAGUCUCCUCGCCUAUAUAAAGGUGACUCGCCCUACCUUGUAAGUGAAUGAUGUUGCUCCACUUCUCCACAAAUGCAAUAAUCUCU